GAUCAUGGCUCAGAACGAACGCUGGCGGCGCGUCUUAAGCAUGCAAGUCGAACGGCAAGAGGUAGCAAUACCUCCUAGAGUGGCGGGACUGGUGAGUAACACGUGGGUGACAUACCCUUCAGAUGGGGGUAGCUAUUAGAAAUAGUAGAUAAUACCGAAUACGAGCACAGGGGUUAGAGAUCUGUGAGGAAAGGAGCUAAGGCUCCGCUGAAGGAAUGGCCUGCGGCCCAUUAGCUAGUUGGUGAGGUAAGAGCCCACCAAGGCGAUGAUGGGUAUCCGGCCUUAGAGGGUGAACGGACACAUUGGGACUGAGAUACGGCCCAGACUCCUACGGGAGGCAGCAGCUAAGAAUAUUCCGCAAUGGACGAAAGUCUGACGGAGCGACGCCGCGUGGAUGAAGAAGGCCGGAAGGUUGUAAAAUCCUUUUGAAACUGAAGAAUAAGCGUUGUAGGGAAUGACAGCGUGGUGACAGUAGGUUUUGAAUAAGCAACGGCUAAUUACGUGCCAGCCGCUGC
rnacentral:rRNA from 1 species